CAGAUGAAGGAAGAAUGAGAGCACGAAGAAUGGAAAGGAAAGUUUUAUGGGCCAGGGCUGGAGGUCUUGUUGCUGAGACUACUGAUCUCCAAAGUGGAAUGUGCUCACUCUAGAGGUAUACAAGAUAAUUCACUGAAGUGUGGGCCAAAGCAACGUCUCUUUCCACCUUGGUCACCUUCCAACAACGAUUUCUUCGGACGCCUUUGUUAAUCAUUCCUGUAUGAAAAAUCAGUGAAUCUGAAGCUUUGGGGAGAGUGAAAGGGGGUUGGAAAACAAACGGCAAAACAAAAAUGCAUUUCGGAGGACUACCCCAACUCUGUGGGUGGAAGUGGGCUUCUCCGAAUAAAGGCGAGGGUCGCCGCCUCGGGUCCUCGCACCUCAACAAAAGACACCAACUCUCUCAACUGUACUGUUAACAGAUCUAAAUGAUACUCCA
rnacentral:lncRNA from 10 species